rnacentral:rRNA from 1 species
UAUUGGUCAAUGGGCGGGAGCCUGAACCAGCCAAGUCGCGUGAGGGAAGACGGUCCUACGGAUUGUAAACCUCUUUUGCCGGGGAGCAGCGCGGCGGCCGUGUCCGCCGUUUGAGAGUACCCGGCGAAACAGCAUCGGCUCACUCCGUGCCCUCAGCCGCGGUAAUACGGAGGAUGCGAGCGUUAUCCGGAUUUAUUGGGUUUAAAGGGUGCGUAGGCGGGCUUUUAAGUCAGCGGUAAAAAUUCGGGGCUCAACCCCGUCCGGCCGUUGAAACUGGGGGCCUUGAGUGGGCGAGAAGAAGGCGGAAUGCGUGGUGUAGCGGUGAAAUGCAUAGAUAUCACGCAGAACCCCGAUUGCGAAGGCAGCCUUCCGGCGCCCUACUGACGCUGAGGCACGAAAGUGCGGGGAUCGAACAGG